GUUUCCUCCAUCCUCCCUUGGCAGAUGUGUGUAUCCGAUGCCUCUGCGUCGACCCUCAUCUCCUUUCUUCUCCUUUUGGUUGUGUGGGUGAGUUCCUCCUCUUCUGCACGGUGCAGAAUAAAGAGGGAUUAGAGAUUGGAUCGAUCGAUCGGUAUCGAAUGGGUGAGUCGGGUAUGGAUAGGCUUCCCGAGGGCUGCGUCGCCCACGCCAUCGCCCUCACCUCCCCCCGCGACGUCUGCCGCUUCUCCGCCGUCUCCUCCGCCUUCCGCUCCGCCGCCGCCUACGACACCGUCUGGGACCGCUUCCUCCCCUCCGAUUACCGCUCCAUCCUCUCCCGCGCCGUCCGCCC
rnacentral:lncRNA from 1 species